rnacentral:rRNA from 1 species
GAUGAACGCUGGCGGCGUGCCUAAUACAUGCAAGUCGAGCGAACGGACGAGAAGCUUGCUUCUCUGAUGUUAGCGGCGGACGGGUGAGUAACACGUGGAUAACCUACCUAUAAGACUGGGAUAACUUCGGGAAACCGGAGCUAAUACCGGAUAAUAUUUUGAACCGCAUGGUUCAAAAGUGAAAGACGGUCUUGCUGUCACUUAUAGAUGGAUCCGCGCUGCAUUAGCUAGUUGGUAAGGUAACGGCUUACCAAGGCAACGAUGCAUAGCCGACCUGAGAGGGUGAUCGGCCACACUGGAACUGAGACACGGUCCAGACUCCUACGGGAGGCAGCAGUAGGGAAUCUUCCGCAAUGGGCGAAAGCCUGACGGAGCAACGCCGCGUGAGUGAGGAGGGUCUUCGGAUCGUAAAACUCUGUUAUUAGGGAAGAACAUAUGUGUAAGUAACUGUGCACAUCUUGACGGUACCUAAUCAGAAAGCCACGGCUAACUACGUGCCAGCAGCCGCGGUAAUACGUAGGUGGCAAGCGUUAUCCGGAAUUAUUGGGCGUAAAGCGCGCGUAGGCGGUUUUUUAAGUCUGAUGUGAAAGCCCACGGCUCAACCGUGGAGGGUCAUUGGAAACUGGGAAACUUGAGUGCAGAAGAGGAAGUGGAAUUCCAUGUGUAGCGGUGAAAUGCGCAGAGAUAUGGAGGAACACCAGUGGCGAAAGGCGACUUUCUGGUCUGUAACUGACGCUGAUGUGCGAAAGCGUGGGGAUCAAACAGGAUUAGAUACCCUGGUAGUCCACGCCGUAAACGAUGAGUGCUAAGUGUUAGGGGGUUUCCGCCCCUUAGUGCUGCAGCUAACGCAUUAAGCACUCCGCCUGGGGAGUACGACCGCAAGGUUGAAACUCAAAGGAAUUGACGGGGACCCGCACAAGCGGUGGAGCAUGUGGUUUAAUUCGAAGCGACGCGAAGAACCUUACCAAAUCUUGACAUCCUUUGACAACUCUAGAGAUAGAGCCUUCCCCUUCGGGGGACAAAGUGACAGGUGGUGCAUGGUUGUCGUCAGCUCGUGUCGUGAGAUGUUGGGUUAAGUCCCGCAACGAGCGCAACCCUUAAGCUUAGUUGCCAUCAUUAAGUUGGGCACUCUAAGUUGACUGCCGGUGACAAACCGGAGGAAGGUGGGGAUGACGUCAAAUCAUCAUGCCCCUUAUGAUUUGGGCUACACACGUGCUACAAUGGACAAUACAAAGGGCAGCGAAACCGCGAGGUCAAGCAAAUCCCAUAAAGUUGUUCUCAGUUCGGAUUGUAGUCUGCAACUCGACUACAUGAAGCUGGAAUCGCUAGUAAUCGUAGAUCAGCAUGCUACGGUGAAUACGUUCCCGGGUCU